ACACAUCUAACCAGAGGCUAGAUCAAAUAUUUAUUGAAUAACAGCAAGGAAAAAUAUUGGGUUGUCUCCCAACAAGCGCUUUUCUUUGAAGCCUUUUAGCUAGGCAUUGAUAAUUUUAAUGAUGCUCACAUGAAAGACAAGAAUUGGAGCACAAAGAGAGUAUCAUAAAACAUGUGACAAACACAUCUAAGUCUAACAUACUUCCUAUGCAUAGGCAUCACACCCAAUAUGUGAUACUAUCCUAAAGAGACUCGAAGGUCCCACCAAGGAUAGAACCGCAUAUUGACACGCUUUUGCAAGGUGGAUGUCGUUACAUCAACAAUACAUAAAAGAUGGGGAUACAUACAAGGCAUACAGAUGCCGCAAGAAUACAUCAUACAUAAGAUCAACAUCCGACUACGGAUUAAACACGAACAGAAACUCAAACGACAUCCACCCUGCUAGCCCAGGCUGCCGACCUGGAACCUAUCCCCUGAUCGAAGAAGAAGCAGAAGAAGAACUCCAAAACAAAUAACAUCGCUCUCGCAUCAUGAUCAUCGCAAACCUGUACCUGCAACUGGUGUUGUAGUAAUCUGUGAGCCACGAGGACUCAGCAAUCCCAUUACCAUGGGUAUCAAGACUAGCAAAGCUUAAUGGGUAAGGAAGGGGUAAAGUGGUGAGGUAGCAGCAGCGACUAAGCAAGUAUGGUGGCUAACAUACGCAAAUAAGAGCGAGAAGAGGAGCAACGGAAUGGUCGUGAAGCUAGCAAUGAUCAAGAAGUGAUCCUUAACUCCUACUUACGUCAAACAUAACCCAGAAACCGUGUUCACGUCCCGGACUCCGCCGAGAAGAGACCAUCACGGCUACACACGCGGUUGAUGCGUUUUAAAUAAGUCAAGUGUCAAGUUCUCUACAACCGGACAUUAAUAAAUUCCCAUCUGCCACAUAACCAUGGGCUCGGCUCUCGAAAGUUUAUACCCUGCAGGGGUGUCCCAACUUAGCCCAUUAUAAGCUCUCAUGGUCAACGAAGGAUAUUCCUUCUCCUGGGAAGACCCGAUCAGUCUCGGAAUCCCGGUUUACAAGACAUUUCGACAAUGGUAAAACAAGACCAGCAAAGCCGCCGGAUUUGCCGACAAAUCCCGAUAGGAUCUGCACAUAUCUCGUUCUCAGGGCACACCGGAUGAGCAAGACGUCGGGUUGGCAUAGACCCUGGUUGCCCAGGGGGCGCCGGACAUCGCUCGGUUUGGACCAGCACUUGGAGAAGCACUGGCCUGGGGGGGCUAAAAUAAAGAUGACCCUCGGGAGCGCGACUCCCUAGGGAAAAUAUAUAGGUAGUGGAUAGGAAAAUAUAAAACCAAUGUUGGGCCUUGCUGGAAGAGUAUUAUUCAAAGCGAACUGUCAAGGGGGUCCCAUAAAUCACCCAACCGCGUAAGGGACGCAAAAUCAAGGAACAUAACACCGGUAUGACGGAAACUAGGGCGGCAAGAGUGAAAUAAAACAUCAGGCAUAAGGCCGAGCCUUCCACCAUUUACCAAGUAUAUAGAUGCAUUAAUUAAAUAAGAGAUAUUGUGAUAUCCCAACAAAAUUCAUGAUAUCCAUGUUCCAACAUGGAACAAACUUCAUCUUCACCUGCAACUAGCAACACUAUAAGAGGGGCUGAGCAAAAGCGGUAACAUAGCCAAACAACGAUUUGCUAGGAAGGGUGACAUAGGUUAGAGGUUGACAUGGCAAUUUGGGAGGCUUGAAGAGCAAGUGAUAGGUAGCGCAGCAUAGUGAUAGAACGAAGCAACUAGCAUAGCAAUGAUAGUAAUGAGAUCCAAGGUUACGGUCAUCUUGCCUGAAAUCCCGCUAGGAAGAAGAACGAGUCCAUGAAGAAGAUGAAGCCACGAAGACGAACGAAUCCUCACGAGCGCAACGAAACAGGAACUAACGAGAAGGAGCACAACUGGAAAGAAGCAAACAACAAGGUAAACACACAACACAUAAACAAGACAUGAUGCACAACCAAGCCGGAUGCAUGACAAAGCUACAUGAAGCUACUCAUGGCAAGAGAUGAUGCAUACAAGAGCAACACAUCAAAGCAAGUUUAAAUGAGGCCGGAAACAACAUAUGACAAUUCCGGUAAGUCCUCAUAUGCAAAUUUCGAAAUUGGUCCAGAUCUGAAUAAGCCUUAUGUUCAAGUUGUUAAAAAGCAAGUUAAGAUGCACCAAGAUGAUCUACACGAAAUUCUAGUCAAGUUACAUAUAAAGUUCGUUUAAUUCGGAGCUACGGCCUAGAAGAUAUGAGCAAAACAAGUUAAACAUGGCAUUGAUGCAAAAUGCAUUCAAACAUCAAGCAAACACACUCAAGAUAAGGAUGCAACAAGGUUAUAUGAAACUACAUGCAAAAUUAAGCAAGUUUCAUAUAGAGCAUGCUCAAAAUGGAGCAACGGUGCAACACUUACACUCCAAACAAGAUAUAACAACAAUCUGUUCAAAACAGCAACUAGGCAUCUUGCAAGCAUCAUGAACAUAUGCUACAGCACCCCAACAUAAAAAAGGCAUGGACAUGAAGUACAGGUAAAGCAUUACAAAACAUGAACACUGAGAUAUCUCCAUAAAUCAAUAGAACAUGCUCAAAAGGACAUGUCAAAAUUGCAAAUAAUAACAGUUCACAGACUUAACAGAAAAUCUCUCGGCAUGGCAGAAAUAACAUCAGGUUGCAAUGUUUAGAGCUAUCAAAGAACAUCCUACAGGAACAGAUCAUAGACAACAAAGGAAUGGCAUGAAUCUACUAAUUGCAUAGAAUAAAAAUCCAUUACUGAUCACGAGCCAAAAAGGCAUAGAAGAUAUGAUGGAACCCAUGUAAACAUAGCAAGUUUCAUAAACAGAUUCAGACUUAGCAGAAAAACUGAGCAUGGCAUAAACAGAAUUAUGAAGGCAUCUUUGCGAGCUCAUAUCACUCAUCACAAAGAAUUUCAUGGCAUGUGAAGGCAUCCAACAGUAAGAUGGCAUAAUUAUAAAGCUAAUCAUGGCAAGAGCAUGUUCAUAGGGUGCAUGGAUCACUAGCAAAACACAUGUCAAAACUGAACUUCAUGUUAAUAGGCUGACAGCAACAUUAUUUAGCAAUCUGAGAGCAAGUUUGCAACAAGCUACAGCAGGCUAUAAAUGCAACCAAGGGCAUGGAUGGAUAGAGCAUAACAUUUAUAACAAAACAUCCUUAGUGAAGAUCUCCAUAUUAUGCAUGGAUUCACUUGUAGAAGCAGGUUUACAUAGCAUCACAAUGUUACAGCUAGAGACUUGGCAGAAAUGACUAAGUCACAGAGAUCAGCAACAUCACAGAGGCUAUUUUGCAUGCUUGUGCUAGUCACCACAUAGAUCACAAAAAUACACGACAAUCACCCCUGGAAAUAUGGCAUGAUAUAGUUCAAAACUCAUGUAGAGCUCAUGCUCUUAGGAUGCACACACAAAAUGCAACAAAAAUAACAAAUCAGCAAGUUCUGUAAACAAACAGCAGUUAACAUCAUAUAGCACUCUUGCAAUGAUUAUUAGGGCAUCAAGAUGGACUCAAACAAGCAUAGCACAAUGGAACAAAAUGACGAGCAUCUCACAAUGAAAAUUAGGUAUAUUAUACAUGCAAAACAUGGCACCGAGCAUGAACUUAUGGCAGGGCAAGUAUGCACAUAAGAUGUUUGAAAUCUAGGACUUGGAGAAAAUAACCACCUCGCGGGAAAACGGGAUCGGGCGGUUCAGCAGAUCUGUUUGGCUUGCCGGGUCCGGGACGGGAUUGGACGGGGUUGUCCAGGUCGGGGGUUGGAAGAAGACCCAUGGAAAUGGCGUAGUGGGG
rnacentral:lncRNA from 1 species